CGGGGGGGGCAAGCGUUGUUCGGAAUUACUGGGCGUAAAGGGUGCGUAGGCGGCUUUCUAAGUCGGAUGUGAAAACUCUGGGCUCAACCCAGAGCCUGCAUCUGAAACUGGAGAGCUAGGGUUCUGGAGGGGAAAGCGGAAUUCCUGGUGUAGCGGUGAAAUGCGUAGAUAUCAGGAGGAACACCGGUGGCGAAGGCGGCUUUCUGGACAGAUACCGACGCUGAGGCACGAAAGCUAGGGGAGCAAACAGGAUUAGAUACCCUGGUAGUCCUAGCCCUAAACGAUGGAUACUUGCUGUGGGGGGGAUUGAAGCCCCUUGUGGCGAAGCUAACGCAUUAAGUAUCCCGCCUGGGGAGUACGGUCGCAAGGCUG
rnacentral:rRNA from 1 species